GAUAAACGCUGGCGGCGUGCUUAACACAUGCAAGUCGAACGAAGUUUUCUUUCGGGAGGAACUUAGUGGCGGACGGGUGAGUAACGCGUGGGUAACCUGCCCUGUACAGGGGGACAACAGCUGGAACGGCUGCUAAUACCGCAUAAGCCCUUAGCACUGCAUGGUGCAUAGGGAAAAGGAGCAAAUCCGGUACAGGAUGGACCCGCGUCUGAUUAGGCCAGUUGGCAGGGUAACGGCCUACCAAAGCGACGAUCAGUAGCCGAUCUGAGAGGAUGUACGGCCAUAUUGGGACUGAGACACGGCCCAGACUCCUACGGGAGGCAGCAGUGGGGAAUAUUGCACAAUGGGGGAAACCCUGAUGCAGCGACGCCGCGUGAGUGAAGAAGUAUUUCGGUAUGUAAAGCUCUAUCAGCAGGGAAGAUAAUGACGGUACCUGAGUAAGAAGCUCCGGGCUAAAUACGUG
rnacentral:rRNA from 1 species